GGUAGCCGGCCUGAGAGGGUGACCGGCCACACUGGGACUGAGACACGGCCCAGACUCCUACGGGAGGCAGCAGUGGGGAAUAUUGCACAAUGGGCGCAAGCCUGAUGCAGCGACGCCGCGUGAGGGAUGACGGCCUUCGGGUUGUAAACCUCUUUCAGCAGGGAAGAAGCCUUGCCUUUUUGGGUGGGUGACGGUACUUGCAGAAGAAGCACCGGCUAACUACGUGCCAGCAGCCGCGGUAAUACGUAGGGUGCAAGCGUUGUCCGGAUUUAUUGGGCGUAAAGAGCUCGUAGGCGGCUUGUCGCGUCGAUUGUGAAAGCUCAGGGCUUAACCCUGGGUCUGCAGUCGAUACGGGCAGGCUAGAGUUCGGUAGGGGAGACUGGAAUUCCUGGUGUAGCGGUGAAAUGCGCAGAUAUCAGGAGGAACACCGGUGGCGAAGGCGGGUCUCUGGGCCGAUACUGACGCUGAGGAGCGAAAGCGUGGGGAGCGAACAGGAUUAGAUACCCUGGUAGUCCACGCUGUAAACGGUGGGAACUAGGUGUGGGCAGCAUUCCACGUUGUCUGUGCCGUAGCUAACGCAUUAAGUUCCCCGCCUG
rnacentral:rRNA from 1 species